AGAGAUUUUCAUACAAAAAUUAUUACAAAAUACAAAUUAUUUAAAUCAGACGUGUAAAGUAGCAAGAGAAAAGAAUCUCAUUUUGCACAUAAAUAAAUAAUAAAUAGGCGAUUUAUUUGCAUAGUUACUUUUUCGAGGCGAAACACAUAAAGUAAAGGAAAACUUCUGGCCAGUUUCUUCUGCGAAUUUCGUUUGCAUAAAUCAAUUAUGCAUCUGUGGGACACUUUUCUCCGCAGACAUUUCAAUUCAAUUGAAAUCUAAUUUGUGCUCUAAUUUUAGGCAUUUUCUUUCCCCGAAGACAAACUGCCAAAUCGUUUUCUUUUUUCCUGGCGGAAAAUUGUCGCACACCAUCUCGUUCGCACUCGCACGUUGAUUCGGUCACGUCGCCGGUGCAAAGGAAACUCUGGCCGCUAGGUGGCGCCACGCAUGCCGUUUUGUAUCUCGUUUUUUGAUUUUCGUUCAGCAGAUAAAUACAUUUUGCAGCUAGUUACUUUUCAGUUGAAAAUUAAUGGCGAAAGAAGUGAAUAUUAUUUAUUUUAUACAAAAUAAGACUUGCAUUGUAUCUUAAUCAAAUCAAUUUGGUAUUAAGCAAAUUCUGUUUAUAUGAAAUUUAUCUUACGUUAACUUUUUUCUAUUUACCUAAUACAUCAAAAUAGAUUUCUUCAUUUUGAUUUCGUUAAUAUCAACAUCUCCCAUUUACGAACAGUGCAUAUCCGACCACGUCAGCGAUUUUUAUCUGCAAAAUGCGAAUGAUUUUCGCUUUUCAAUUGCAAAUCGUCGUUAUCGCAGUGGAUCGAUCAAACACCUUUAUCAAAUUAGCUUAUCGCCAUUUGUUUUCCAUUUCCAUUUGGCUGUCUGUCAUAAAUUACUUGCCAAAUUCCUUGGCAUUAACUUUGGCCGACAGCCCGGAAACAUAACUGUGUACAUACUUACAUAUGUAUGUAUGUAUAUGUAUCUGCAGCUAAAUCUGAAUCUGAAGACUUCCCGGGCACAAUGAACUUCCCGAAUUUCUGCUCGUCAUAACUUUUCUACUUCUAUGUUGCUUUUUUUUUCUCGAGCAUUCCGCGAAAGUUGAUCUCCCUGCGUUAGAUAGAUGGAUAAAUGGAUAAUUUGCUCAGCGUUUCAUGUUUUCCUCUUGUAUUUUUCACCUGCUCGUUUCGGCGAAACAUUUUGGCAGGGCCUCCCCCUCCUGGAAAAAGCAAAAAAAGAAAAAACAAAAACAAAAUCAACUUGUUCUUGAUAAUUUUCUUGGGUUCUGCACACGUUCAACGAUUUUCCCCGCACUCUCUUUUCUCUUAUUUUUUUUUUUAAUGAAAAUUUAUGCAUACAUAUGGAUAUGGGUGUGUGCCGGUGUGAAAAUGUGUUGUGUUUAGUAAAACUAAUUUAAAUUUACAAAUUGCCUUCGAGGGGGCCACAAGAGCGAAAGCCAAAGCCAAAGCGUAAACUUUGUGAAAAUUGCUUUCCCGGAAAAGCGGAGAACACACCGAGGGAAAGUUCUCUAUACAUAUGUGCUGCUACGGCUGGCCAUGUAUCGCAAAGUCACAAAGGAAACAGUUGGGAAAGUGGAUUUCAAUCUCACAGUUGAUUGAUUUACCUUGCGAAAUUGUUCAAAUUUAAAUUUUCUACAUUAAAGUCAUUUGUGUACUGUUUAUGAAUAAUGGGAUGGGGAAAACAAAUUGCAAUUGAGUAAACGAAAUAAGAUACUUAACUCAAUUGAAAGUGGGCGAUACUAUAAAGUGAAUUAAAUAAACCUAAUUAGUAGAGGUUUAUAUUUUCUAAAUUACUAACUAUAUUUUCUACAUCUUUUUUUUUGUUGUUGAAAUUAUAGAAAUGACUAAACAAAAGGCGUCACCAGCUAUCUAUUGGCGAAAAUAAGCAAGCAUAUGCCCUAUAAGCCAAUUUAUACCCGUAUAUAUCUGGGUGUUGGCCAUAAAUUUCGCUGAUCAUUAACCCAUGAAAGUCGUCUGUUGGCCGACCUGAAUCACAGUUCUUUGUUGUUUAUUUUUUGAGAGGCUCGUUUUGGCAGUUUGUGGAUUGCCUGUUUCUAAUCAGCUUGUGGGGGAGGCGGCGGCGGCUGGGGGUCGCAUUUCAAAGAUUGCGAAAUUUCAAAGAGUGCUCAGGUUUAUCAAUGAAUUUCAGUUUCAGUUCGGUUCACUUCGCAAUGUGACAAAGUCAGGGGCCAAAAGUCAAACAAAAGAAGUUCUCGUUUCAAUUCAUUUAUUAUCUGACAAAACACAUCUACAUAAAGCUAAUGUGGCACGAAAGAUAUCCCAAAGAUACACAGAUACAAGCACAUAUGCGUGCCUCAUGGAAUUUCAUUUCAAUCUGAAAGAAAUUUGAUUUUAUUUAUUUGAGCCAGCAUCACCAGAAGACAAGUUGGAUUUCAGCUUUUCUUCUUGAGUUCCUUUAUUUUUUUUUCGGGUGGGCAGGGCAUUCAUGAGAUACAUUUCAAUCUUUCGUUUUCAAUCUACGUGCAGCAUUUUCAGCUUUGGUCAGCAAACAACAAUGCCGGCUAAAAGCGAAGAAAAAAAUAAAAUCACCAUCAAGAUGAAGAUGGCAGGAAAAUGCAUUCAAUUGAAAGGAAAGGACACACAGCCAUGGAUCAUGAUAUGAAUAUGAAAUUAUGCCACAUCUCACAUUUUCAUUUGCUGAUGAAAUUCUCCAUGAAUUCAUAAGAACAGCUCCUCGAAAUAAACGGAUGUGCGAGUUUCAUAUCAAAGAGCGAGCAUAAAAUUGAAAUUAUGAUGAAAUUCGUCACUGGAUCGAAAGAAGAUGUUUAUAGAUUUAACACGUUACUUGUGGCAAAAUGAAAGUUCCUGGAAAAUUAUUUUAUAUACGGAAAAUUUGCAUAUUUGGAACAAAGUGGAAUGUAU
ensembl:ncRNA lncRNA:CR44717 long non-coding RNA:CR44717